GUGGGGAAUCUUAGACAAUGGGGGCAACCCUGAUCUAGCCAUGCCGCGUGAGUGAUGAAGGCCUUAGGGUCGUAAAGCUCUUUCGCUGGGGAAGAUAAUGACGGUACCCAGUAAAGAAACCCCGGCUAACUCCGUGCCAGCAGCCGCGGUAAUACGGAGGGGGUUAGCGUUGUUCGGAAUUACUGGGCGUAAAGCGCGCGUAGGCGGAUUGGAAAGUUGGGGGUGAAAUCCCGGGGCUCAACCCUGGAAUGGCCUUCAAAACUCCCAGUCUUGAGGUCGAGAGAGGUGAGUGGAAUUCCGAGUGUAGAGGUGAAAUUCGUAGAUAUUCGGAGGAACACCAGUGGCGAAGGCGGCUCACUGGCUCGAUACUGACGCUGAGGUGCGAAAGCGUGGGGAGCAAACAGGAUUAGAAACCCCGGUAGUCC
rnacentral:rRNA from 1 species